rnacentral:rRNA from 1 species
GAUGAACGCUAGCGGGAGGCCUAACACGUGCAAGCCGAGCGGUAGAGAUUCUUCGGGAUCUUGAGAGCGGCGUACGGGUGCGGAACACGUGUGCAAUCUACCUUUAUCUGGAGGAUAGCCUUUCGAAAGGAAGAUUAAUACUCCAUAAUAUAUUGAUUGGCAUCGAUUGAUAUUGAAAGCUCCGGCGGAUAGAGAUGGGCACGCGCAAGAUUAGCUAGUUGGUGAGGUAACGGCUCACCAAAGGCGAUGAUCUUUAGGGGGCCUGAGAGGGGUGACUCCCCACACUGGUACUGAGACACGGACCAGACU